rnacentral:rRNA from 1 species
GAUGAACGCUAGCUACAGGCUUAACACAUGCAAGUCGAGGGGCAGCACAGUGUAGCAAUACAUGGGUGGCGACCGGCGCACGGGUGCGUAACGCGUAUCCAACCUUCCCGAUACUCAGGGAUAGCCUUCCGAAAGGGAGAUUAAUACCUGAUGGUGUUUCAAUUCCGCAUGUUAAUGAAACUAAAGAUUUAUCGGUAUCGGAUGGGGAUGCGUGACAUUAGAUAGUAGGCGGGGUAACGGCCCACCUAGUCUACGAUGUCUAGGGGUUCUGAGAGGAAGGUCCCCCACACUGGAACUGAGACACGGUCCAGACUCCUACGGGAGGCAGCAGUGAGGGAUAUUGGUCAAUGGGGGAAACCCUGAACCAGCGACGCCGCGUGAGGGAAGACGGUUUUCGGAUUGUAAACCUCUGUCUUUGGGGACGAAUAAAUGACGGUACCCAAGGAGGAAGCCAACGGCUAACUACGUGCCAG